rnacentral:rRNA from 1 species
UUAAAGGAAUUGACGGGGAGCACCACAACGGGUGGAGCUUGCGGUUUAAUUGGUAUUCAACGCCGGAAAUCUUACCGGGACCGACAGCAAUAUGAAGGCCAGGCUGAAGACUUUGCCGGAUUAGCUGAGAGGUGGUGCAUGGCCGUCGUCAGUUCGUACUGUGAAGCAUCCUGUUAAGUCAGGCAACGAGCGAGACCCACGCCCACAGUUGCCAGCGUACUCUCUGGAGUGACGGGUACACUGUGGGACCGCCGCUGCUAAAGCGGAGGAAGGAAUGGGCAACGGUAGGUCAGUAUGCCCCGAAUAUCCCGGGCUACACGCGAGCUACAAUGGUUGGUACAAUGGGUAUCUACCCCGAAAGGGGACGGGAAUCUCCUAAAACCAAUCUUAGUUCGGAUUGAGGGCUGCAACUCGCCCUCAUGAAGCUGGAAUCCGUAGUAAUCGCGUUUCAACAGAACGCGGUGAAUACGUCCCUGCUCCUU